CGUCUCCCUCUUCAAUUCCAGGGUUGCAUUGAUAGAUUAAACCCAAAUUCCCCUUCUCCCUUGUCUGCAUCUUCAAUUCCAGCGUUUGCAUCUUCAAUUCCAGAGUGGGGCACAACAGCAGAUUCAAGAAAAGGGAAAGAUGAAAAAAGGGAUUCACCCUCAAAUGCAAUGGAUAUCGUACGUGACCCAAAGUGGUCGUCUGAUGACUGUGAUGAUGACCAAGAUUCAUGAGACUGGUAAAGUUUAUCAUUUGCGAGCAAAGCGGCAGAUGGCUCAGAACUUAGGGCAGAUCGCUAAGUUCAAGCGUAAAUAUGGGGAAAAGGAAGAGGAACUUCAAAUUGAAGGGGAACCUCAAAAGAAAUGAUUUCAUUGAGGUACUAAACGUAUUCUAGACAGCCUUGUUUUUUUGUUUUGGGACUUGGUCAUAUUGGUGUAGUAUUCCGUUUUACUCAAGAUUAGUACUGUGCUCAACUGAUGUAUGCUCAUCAUUUUCAAUCUCUGAUCAUAAUAAAAGCUGCUUUAUGUCU